AGUCGAACGGUAGCAGGAGGAAGCUUGCUUUCUUGCUGACGAGUGGCGGACGGGUGAGUAAUGCUUGGGAAUCUGGCUUAUGGAGGGGGAUAACUACUGGAAACGGUAGCUAAUACCGCGUAAUAUCGAGAGAUUAAAGGGUGGGACUUUCGGGCCACCUGCCAUAAGAUGAGCCCAAGUGGGAUUAGGUAGUUGGUGGGGUAAAGGCCUACCAAGCCUGCGAUCUCUAGCUGGUCUGAGAGGAUGGCCAGCCACACUGGAACUGAGACACGGUCCAGACUCCUACGGGAGGCAGCAGUGGGGAAUAUUGCACAAUGGGGGGAACCCUGAUGCAGCCAUGCCGCGUGAAUGAAGAAGGCCUUCGGGUUGUAAAGUUCUUUCGGUGAUGAGGAAGGCAGGUAUUUUAAUAGAAUACUUGAU
rnacentral:rRNA from 1 species